GGGCGGGUCCUGUGCGACCGGUGGCCGCGAACCAUGUCAGGCGGGGAACCGAGCAGCAUUAAGCAGUUUUUCCGGUGCGCCGCAGUAAAUCGGCUCAU
rnacentral:SRP_RNA from 1 species